rnacentral:rRNA from 1 species
ACCCGCUGAACUUAAGCAUAUUACUAAAGGCAGGACAAGAAAAUAACAAUGAUUCCCCCAGUAACUGCGAGUGAAGUGGGAAAAGCCCAACGUUGAAAGCUGUGACUCUAACGGAUCAUCGCAUUGUAACGUAUAGAUUUGUUCUCAAGGCAGUUGCCUACAUCAAAGUUACAUAGAAUAGUACACCAGAGAGGGUGGUAGUCCCGUGAGUGAUGUAGGUUACAAAACUGUCGAGUAGACAAACUCUAAGAGUCGAGUUGUUUGGGAUUGCAGCUCAAAUUGGGUGGUAAACUCCAUCUAAGGCUAAAUACAGACACGAGACCGAUGGCGAACAAGUACCGUGAGGGAAAGUUGAAAAGUACUCUGAAAAGAGAGUGAAAAGUACGUGAAACCUUUAAUGGGGAAGCAGACAGUGGAAUCGAAGCUGUGUCCUCAUUGUGUGUUACGGUGUGGUAACACUGUUGUUGUUGUCACUUGUGGUGCAUGUAUUGUGGUGCAUAGCGCGCUGGGCCCAUCGUUCAAACAUAGCAUCCCUUAAGAAAGGAUGUGGGUCGACUUGUGAUGCAGCCAUAUGAUAGUGUUGUGUGGAUUCGCGUUCAUUUGAUCGUUGUGUGGUGCAUUGCAUAAGUUGUAAGAUCAAUAGGAGCGAUGUGGUGGACAUUUGUGCGGUGCCAGUAAUGGGCAAUGUAUUGGUGUGCGAUAGGAACAACAGCAGUCUUCUGAUUGUUGGAUCAUGUGUGUUGUUGCAUUGAUUUGCAUGCACAUCUGCAAGGGUGUGUGUGUGAAGGUGUGACUACGCAUGGUUGUGAGUGUUGUGUGCGAGUGCAUUGUCGAUUGCACACGUGUCGGUAGUGUGCAUAUCCCAGCGAGAUAUGGUACUGUCUGACCCGUCUUGAAACACGGACCAAGGAGGCUAACGUAUGCGCAAGUCGAGGAGUGGAGAAACUCUAAGGCGAAACGAAAGUGAAAAGUGAGAUCCCC